rnacentral:rRNA from 1 species
AAAUUGAAGAGUUUGAUCAUGGCUCAGAUUGAACGCUGGCGGCAGGCCUAACACAUGCAAGUCGAACGGUAACAGGAAGCAGCUUGCUGCUUUGCUGACGAGUGGCGGACGGGUGAGUAAUGUCUGGGAAACUGCCUGAUGGAGGGGGAUAACUACUGGAAACGGUGGCUAAUACCGCAUAACGUCGCAAGACCAAAGAGGGGGACCUUCGGGCCUCUUGCCAUCAGAUGUGCCCAGAUGGGAUUAGCUUGUUGGUGAGGUAACGGCUCACCAAGGCGACGAUCCCUAGCUGGUCUGAGAGGAUGACCAGCCACACUGGAACUGAGACACGGUCCAGACUCCUACGGGAGGCAGCAGUGGGGAAUAUUGCACAAUGGGCGCAAGCCUGAUGCAGCCAUGCCGCGUGUAUGAAGAAGGCCUUCGGGUUGUAAAGUACUUUCAGCGGGGAGGAAGGUGUUGUGGUUAAUAACCGCAGCAAUUGACGUUACCCGCAGAAGAAGCACCGGCUAACUCCGUGCCAGCAGCCGCGGUAAUACGGAGGGUGCAAGCGUUAAUCGGAAUUACUGGGCGUAAAGCGCACGCAGGCGGUCUGUCAAGUCGGAUGUGAAAUCCCCGGGCUCAACCUGGGAACUGCAUUCGAAACUGGCAGGCUUGAGUCUUGUAGAGGGGGGUAGAAUUCCAGGUGUAGCGGUGAAAUGCGUAGAGAUCUGGAGGAAUACCGGUGGCGAAGGCGGCCCCCUGGACAAAGACUGACGCUCAGGUGCGAAAGCGUGGGGAGCAAACAGGAUUAGAUACCCUGGUAGUCCACGCCGUAAACGAUGUCUACUUGGAGGUUGUGCCCUUGAGGCGUGGCUUCCGGAGCUAACGCGUUAAGUAGACCGCCUGGGGAGUACGGCCGCAAGGUUAAAACUCAAAUGAAUUGACGGGGGCCCGCACAAGCGGUGGAGCAUGUGGUUUAAUUCGAUGCAACGCGAAGAACCUUACCUGGUCUUGACAUCCACAGAAGAAUCCAGAGAUGGAUUUGUGCCUUCGGGAACUGUGAGACAGGUGCUGCAUGGCUGUCGUCAGCUCGUGUUGUGAAAUGUUGGGUUAAGUCCCGCAACGAGCGCAACCCUUAUCCUUUGUUGCCAGCGAUUAGG